rnacentral:rRNA from 1 species
AUUGAACGCUGGCGGUAUGCUUUACACAUGCAAGUCGAACGGUAGAGGGGCAACCCUUGAGAGUGGCGAACGGGUGAGUAAUACAUCGGAACGUGCCCAGUCGUGGGGGAUAACGUAGCGAAAGCUACGCUAAUACCGCAUACGACCUGAGGGUGAAAGCGGGGGACCUGCAAGGGCCUCGCGCGAUUGGAGCGGCCGAUGGCAGGUUAGGUAGUUGGUGAGGUAAAGGCUCACCAAGCCGACGAUGUGUAGCUGGUCUGAGAGGACGACCAGCCACACUGGGACUGAGACACGGCCCAGACUCCUACGGGAGGCAGCAGUGGGGAAUUUUGGACAAUGGGCGCAAGCCUGAUCCAGCCAUACCGCGUGCAGGAAGAAGGCCUUCGGGUUGUAAACUGCUUUUGUCAGGGAAGAAAUCUUCUGGGCUAAUACCCUGGGAGGAUGACGGUACCUGAAGAAUAAGCACCGGCUAACUACGUGCCAGCAGCCGCCGUAAGAC